AUGUCGUGAUGUGGACAUUUCCUAAGUAAACCAUUCAACCUUUCCCAAGCUUCAUAAAGAAGCUCCCCAUCCCCAUGUGAAAAUUCACGAAUUAAAGUUCUCAUGGC